ensembl:lncRNA
AUUGUAACUGUGUAAAUGUUUCUGUUUCCUAGAAAUGACCAUCUGACCAUCUCAGACAUCUAAGAUGAACUUGAAGUUUGUUAUAGAUCUCGUGUUGAGGAUGGAGAUCGGUGAAGAUGCCCCCACGUUUACAAAGAUCCUCGUGUAUGUCAUGUUUCUCCUGGAAUAACCUUGUGAUUAUAUAUAAUGGAAAUCCUACACCUACUACCUACUCUUUCAAAACUUCACUCACUGUGUAUGGGCUCGGUGCUUGCAACUUUUUGUACAGUAGAUGUAAAUAAUAGAAAAAAAUGGAGUCAUGUGAAAACAAAGGCCUGUUCACACUUGAGAAAGUCAAAGAUGUGGCUCCACCAAACAAAUUAUAAAGCUCUAUUUUUAGCUGUUGAAUCAACAUUGGACUUGAUUCCCAUGUGACAACCAUUAAACCUUCACCAUUGAACCUUUUUGAGCCCAGGGCCAAACCACACCUCAAUGCUGCUUUUGCACCAACUUCUGCCAAUGUUUCCUGUAGUUCUUGGUAAUUGGUUGGCUGGAUUUUGUUGACAAUGGCACUUGACAUUUACUGUGAUUGAAAUUUGUGAGCAACUAAUUCUGAGAAUUACAGUGAAAAGUCAAAUGCAGCUACCACACGAUCAGGAGAUAUUAAAACUAUGAAUUAAACCGUCUACACGUGCUCAAAGGCGAGCAAUACUGGGGUACACAUAAAGAUUUGCUGCCAUUUCUGUUAGUAUUUAAAAGAGUGUUGACAUUCUGAAGUAUAUUUAGCCUUCUUUUUAGUCACCACAUUGAAUAGAAAUUAGAUACACAUUUUGCAGUAUCAUUCUACAGGGAAGAGGCACAAGUGUCCUCUACCAGGUGCUAAAUAACGAAUACGGUCUUUUCAUUUAAGACUUGCACAUUUACAUCAAUGCAAUUUCAGUAUGCAAGUACACAGACAAAUCAGACAGCCGUUCUCCACUCUUGCUUAAAACUGAAUCUCCCUCUUGAAGUUUUCUUUUCUUUUUCUUUUUUUUUUUAAUGACCCCUGCCUUUAUUUUAGUCUCCCUACUUUGGAAAAUGAAUACCAGCAAAGUGCUUGUACUUGUUGGCUGUGGCUGAUAAGGCUCUGUCUCUACCAGUCACAGCCAGAGUUAGUUUGUUUUGUAAUUUUAGGAAGCAGUUUGCCUGGUGGAAGCAGUGGAAGUAGCUGUUGAAUUUUGGGGUCCGCCAGCUACCAGAAUGAGCAAAGAGCUUCCCGCCCUGCAGAUAGUCCAAAUACUUCUUCUCAGAGAGGAUCCACGGCCUCCCCCAUGUGAUGUGGACAUAGAGGCUGGCAGUUGACCUGUAAAACAGGUGUUGUGUUUAACAUAUAAGUUGGUCUAACCUUAGAGUUCGGUGUUGUUUCACUUCUUCUUUUUCCUUGCAUACAAACGAUCAACUCAACAAAGUAGUCUCCAGAUGUCCAUUAAUUUCCUACAUGCAGAGAAAGCUCAUUCUCUUAUGCACCAUUGCUGACUCGUGUUAUGUAUUAGCAAGCAAAGCGAGAUGGUGAUAAGCUCAUGAUUUAGGUGAGAUGCACGAGCAUCUACCAGCAUUCUUGUACUGUAUAAGCUGUAGUAUGGUCUCAGUGCUUUAGUGACUUGAGGUGGUUCAGAUGAAAUAAUAGAGACUUGAGUGAUUCUGCAGCCAUUGAGCUUUGAAAUCUGUGGUCUGGACACAGGUUUGGUUGUCCUGAGACAGUUGGGCUGUGGAUUAGGUUUGAACCUUAAACAAGCUUUUUUUUUCCCCUCCGUGUGCCGCUCAGAGAGUAUGCUGACUUCAGGAUGUG